rnacentral:rRNA from 1 species
CCUACGGGUGGCAGCAGUGAGGAAUAUUGGUCAAUGGCCGGAAGGCUGAACCAGCCAUGCCGCGUGAAGGUCAGUGCCCUAUGGGCGUUAAACUUCUUUUGUGCGGGAGCAAUAAUGGUCACGUGUGGCCAGACGAGAGUACCGUACGAAUAAGCAUCGGCUAACUCCGUGCAAGCAGCCGCGGUAAUACGGGGGAUGCAAGCGUUAUCCGGAUUUAUUGGGUUUAAAGGGUGCGUAGGCUGGGAGGUAAGUCAGCGGUGAAAUGCCCCGGCUCAAAGGGGUGAAGUGCCAUUGAUACUGCAUGGCUGGAAUGCGGAUGCCGUGGGAGGAAUGUGUGGUGUAGCGGUGAAAUGCAUAGAUAUCACACAGAACACCGAUUGCGAAGGCAGCUUACGGAUCCGCAAUUGACACUGAUGCACGAAAGCGUGGGUAUCAAACAGGAUUAGAUACCCUUGUAGUC